UCUCUGGUAGUAUAGUGGUGAGUAUCCGCGCCUGUCACGUGCGAGACCGGGGUUCGAUUCCCCGCCAGAGAG
rfam:Strongyloides venezuelensis genome assembly, scaffold: SVE_scaffold0000034